rnacentral:rRNA from 1 species
AGCUUGCUCCCGGAUGUUAGCGGCGGACGGGUGAGUAACACGUGGGUAACCUGCCUGUAAGACUGGGAUAACUCCGGGAAACCGGAGCUAAUACCGGAUAGUUCCUUGAACCGCAUGGUUCAAGGAUGAAAGACGGUUUCGGCUGUCACUUACAGAUGGACCCGCGGCGCAUUAGCUAGUUGGUGAGGUAACGGCUCACCAAGGCGACGAUGCGUAGCCGACCUGAGAGGGUGAUCGGCCACACUGGGACUGAGACACGGCCCAGACUCCUACGGGAGGCAGCAGUAGGGAAUCUUCCGCAAUGGACGAAAGUCUGACGGAGCAACGCCGCGUGAGUGAUGAAGGUUUUCGGAUCGUAAAGCUCUGUUGUUA